rnacentral:tRNA from 2 species
GGGGUCGUAGUUCAGUUGGUUAGAACGCCAGCCUGUCACGUUGGAGGUCGCGGGUUCGAGUCCCGUCGGCCCCGCCA